rnacentral:tRNA from 1 species
GCCCUCUUGGCGGAAUUGGUAGACGCAGCAGACUCAAAAUCUGCCGAGAAAUCGUAUCGGUUCGACUCCGAUAGAGGGCA